UACGUAGGGGCCGAGCGUUGUCCGGAUUCAUUGGGCGUAAAGAGCGUGUAGGCGGCCGCUUAAGUCCUGCGUGAAAUCUCGGAGCUCAACUCCGAGCGGUCGUGGGAAACUGGGCGGCUAGAGUGCGGGAGAGGAGAGUGGAAUUCCGAGUGUAGAGGUGAAAUUCGUAGAUAUUCGGAAGAACACCAGUGGCGAAGGCGACUCACUGGACACGUAUUGACGCUGAGGUGCGAAAGCGUGGGGAGCAAACAGG
rnacentral:rRNA from 1 species